CGCGUGCCUAAUACAUGCAAGUCGAGCGAGCUGAAUUCAAAGAUCCCUUCGGGGUGAUUUGUUGGACGCUAGCGGCGGAUGGGUGAGUAACACGUGGGCAAUCUGCCCUAAAGACUGGGAUACCACUUGGAAACAGGUGCUAAUACCGGAUAACAACAUGAAUCGCAUGAUUCAAGUUUGAAAGGCGGCGUAAGCUGUCACUUUAGGAUGAGCCCGCGGCGCAUUAGCUUGUUGGUGGGGUAA
rnacentral:rRNA from 1 species